AUGAAGAAAGAAGACCACCUUAUUUGCAUUUGGAGCUCUAAAAAACUGAUGUUCCUUUUUUGUGAAGAAUUAAGGUUACAGCUUGACCUUCUUGAACUCAGGGCCUAGCUCAAUCGAGGGAUUUGAUGGAUCUGUUCUAGCUGAAUUCCGUGUAACGAAGCCAUCAACCAAGGUGUACAGAUCAGACUACAAGGAACCGGGACCUUGGAACAUUCAUACCAAUGGCGUGGUCAAAGAACUGUUCCGACAAAAUAUGAUUGUCAUGUUUAUAUGCAGGAUACAGUUAUAAUAAUCAAUAUAUUUUUAAAUGGUAUUUUGGUAGUACCCUGAUUGCGGCACCAGCUGCUGUUUCCAACUGAAGAACUUUCACGCCUUCAACUUCCUGAAACGUGUUUGUUGUCCAUCACAAGCUUUGUUAAGUUCUUCACAAAUCAUAGCUAAGAAGUAACAAGCUCA